GAGAGAGAGAGAGAGAGAGUGAGAGUGAAUGAGUAAGCAGACCUGGAUAAGCUCUGUUUCCAGGCAGGUUUUCAGCAGGCCAGACAACGCCCUGAGCCUCUAUUCCCCCUCCUCUCCAGUGAAAGAACACACAUUACGUAACAGCGAUCGACCAUGCAGAACGUGUUAGCUGACAGCCUGACUGAUCUAGUUCACAAGUGAGAACAGGAGCAGACUGGGUGGGGGAGGUGAGAAAUGGACACAGAAUGCUAAAAAGGACAAUAGCAACGGCGCCACUAAUAACAUGCCGUCACUCUAACUUGCAAGAACUUCAUGAGUAAUGGAUUUGACCCUACAAGACUACAAGCUGGCCAGAGUCCAAUAAAGUUAGGACUGAGAACUCAGUGGAUGCAGCCGUUCAAAACACCAGAUAAAGGUACCCUUAGAGGAUAUAGCUGCCCCGCAGACACCAACACAUCCACUACAGCUAGAAGCCCCUGUGCAUGCUUUUUAGAUAAUGGAGUGGAUGAGUAGCUGGGACAUUUGCUGAGUGGCAGCAUGAGAGUGUUACUGCUCUUCAUUACCACAUUAGCCAACAUCCUGGUGAAGAUUACAUGGAUAUAGAGAGGAUUAUGUAAAGAUGCAGCAUGAUGUAAGCGACUAAAUCGACUGUUCCAGGAUUGAAACCAUCCAGGUAUCUGUCCUCCACUCAGUGGAAAUGAUGGAAUGCAUGCCUGGGAUCUGCAAGGCAUCUAUCAGCAAACAGGACUGUUAGAUCUUCUAGCAUUACCAUCUACAAUGGGAGGGGGUUAUAGCGCAAGGAAACAUUCCAACCCUUGUAACAGAUCUGCACUUUUCCUUAUGCAGAGCAUAUCAGGUGACCUUUUGUUCGUAUACAGAAUGGACACCAGGUGAGAUCUGCGGUGGAAUUCCAACAUUUACGGUCAAGGUAGCAUACUGGGGCCUGAGUCAAAUAUAUCGAAAGUAUGAAACGAGUCAUUUUUAUAUGUCUGGGUUUUUUUUUCACUACUAAACUAUGCUUGUUUGAUAGAUCAGGCUGUACACAUUAUGUCCAUGUUUCUGGCACUAAUAACAAGCUAGUAUACAACAUCACCAACACUACCAUCUGAAUAAUUACACACCGAGGGCGGUAAAAUUCUCAGAGAUGAAUGGUCACCUCUCAAGCACUUUUGCUUUUGUUCUGGACAAGUAUUUGAAGUGGAAUAAAGGACAGCAUCCAAAUUACAAUAUGUUAAAUAUGUAUUUCUCAGAUGUUCAGUUCUUGAGCUAUGGAACCUUUUCUUAAUAACAGUAAUUAACAAAGUACGUCGUGCCUACUUCCGUAACAGCGUUCAAUUUAUGCCACAGUCACUAAAGAAAAAAUGUGAAGGAAAUCUUAAGAGUAAUGUUUCUUAUAAUCUAUUACAGCUCGACUCCAAGGGAACAAAACAGUAUGUUUAAUGUGAAAAGAGCUUAAGUCAGUGACACCAUCAAUGUUAGAAACUUUGGAACUGGAAAAUGGGCACUGAAUGGGUACAUCAAGUCCAAUCAAUCUCCUCACUGCUUUCUGCAUAAGUAAGCAUCUUAAGUGCCCAGAGCAUGGCCAAUGCAUCAGUUUCUCUCUUACAUACAACCUCUUUCUUCACUUACACUGUUCCACUACAAAUACAUUGUCCUACAAUUUAUUCAUUACAGAGAGUAUGGAAGACACUGUCUUUGUAAAAUGAUUAAGCAUUAUACAGAGCAUCAGAAUAAAUAUAUUUUCUCCUAGCUAAUCAAUUGAAUGAAGCAAGUGC
ensembl:lncRNA